rnacentral:rRNA from 1 species
AGAGUUUGAUCCUGGCUCAGAACGAACGCUGGCGGCGUGCCUAACACAUGCAAGUCGAACGGAGAUAAGGGGCUUGCUCCUUAUUUUAGUGGCGCACGGGUGAGUAACGCGUGGAUAAUCUACCUUGGAAUCUGGGAUAACAUUUCGAAAGGGGUGCUAAUACCGGAUAAGACCACGAGCUCUUUGGAGUUUGCGGUAAAAGGGGGCCUCUGUAUAUGCUUCUGUUUCAAGAUGAGUCCGCGUACCAUUAGCUAGUUGGCAGGGUAAUGGCCUACCAAGGCGACGAUGGUUAGCUGGUCUGGGAGGAUGAUCAGCCACACUGGAACUGAGACACGGUCCAGACUCCUACGGGAGGCAGCAGUGGGGAAUUUUGCGCAAUGGGGGAAACCCUGACGCAGCAACGCCGCGUGAGUGAUGAAGGCCUUCGGGUCGUAAAGCUCUGUCAGAGGGAAAGAAGUGU